UACGUAGGGGGCAAGCGUUGUCCGGAAUCAUUGGGCGUAAAGCGCGUGUAGGCGGCCCGAUAAGUCCGCUGUGAAAGUCCAGGGCUCAACCCUGGGAUGCCGGUGGAUACUGUCGGGCUCGAGUCCGGAAGAGGAGUGUGGAAUUCCUGGUGUAGCGGUGGAAUGCGUAGAGAUCGGGAAGAACAUCAGUGGCGAAGGCGGCCUGCUGGGCUGUUGCUGGACGCUGAGGCGCGGACAGCGUGGGGAGCAAACGAGG
rnacentral:rRNA from 1 species